CUGCUUCUUUUUUAACAGUGGGCCAAUAGUAUCCUUGCCUGAAUACUUUGUUGGCUAAUGUUCCUGCUCCCUCGUGGGCUCCACAUAGGCCUCUAUGUAUCUCUUCCAUUACCUUUGUAGCCUCUUCCGGGCUCACACAUCGGAGCCAUGGACUGGAUUUUCCUUUUCUGUAUAAGGUCCCCCUUAUUGCUUGGUAGUUGGCAGCACGAGCUGCUAUCUUUCUGGCUUCAUCUUUAUC
rnacentral:lncRNA from 1 species